rnacentral:rRNA from 1 species
GUGAGGAAUAUUGGUCAAUGGGCGGGAGCCUGAACCAGCCAAGUCGCGUGAAGGAAGAAGGAUCUAUGGUUCGUAAACUUCUUUUGCAGGGGAAUAAAGUGCAGGACGUGUCCUGUUUUGUAUGUACCCUGAGAAUAAGGAUCGGCUAACUCCGUGCCAGCAGCCGCGGUAAUACGGAGGAUCCGAGCGUUAUCCGGAUUUAUUGGGUUUAAAGGGUGCGUAGGUGGUUUGAUAAGUCAGCGGUGAAAGUUUGCAGCUUAACUGUAAAAAUGCCGUUGAAACUGUCGGACUUAAGUGUAAAUGAGGUAGGCGGAAUGCGUGGUGUAGCGGUGAAAUGCAUAGAUAUCACGCAGAACUCCGAUUGCGAAGGCAGCUUACUAAGCUACAACUGACACUGAAGCACGAAAGCGUGGGGAUCAAACAGGAUUAGAAACCCUUGUAGUCC